rnacentral:lncRNA from 1 species
CACUUUAUCAUUACUGCAAACCUCCUACAUAGCUACUGCUCUCUGCGCUUUUACGAACAAGUUUCUAAGUUCUGAUCUUUCCGAAUCUGCAUUCAGACGUAAAUCGAUGUUUUCGUACGAUCUUUACAUUGCAGUUUACAUUUACGUUUUGAUUCUACUUAUAACUGUAAACUGUCUUCUGCGCUUUUACGAACGAGUGUCUAAGUUCAGAUCUUUCCGAAUCUGAGCUUAGACGUAAACUACGCUUAGACGCAAACUGUGUUUAGACGCAAACUGCGCUUAGACGCAAUCUGCGCUUAGACGCAAACUGCGCUUAGAUGCAAACUGCGCUUAGACGCAAUCUGCAUUUAGACGCAAACUGCAUUUAGACGCAAACUGCGUAAACUGCGCUUAGACGCAAACUGUGUUUAGACGUAAACUGC